rnacentral:rRNA from 1 species
GAUGAACGCUGGCGGCGUGCCCAAUACAUGCAAGUCGAGCGGACCAAAGAGAGCUUGCUCUCUGAGGUUAGCGGCGGACGGGUGAGUAACACGUGGGUAACCUGCCUGUAAGACGGGGAUAACUUCGGGAAACCGAAGCUAAUACCGGAUGAUAAAGAGAAACGCCUGUUUCUUUUUUGAAAGUCGGCCUUGUGCUGACGCUUACAGAUGGGCCCGCGGCGCAUUAGCUAGUUGGUGAGGUAACGGCUCACCAAGGCGACGAUGCGUAGCCGACCUGAGAGGGUGAUCGGCCACACGGGGACUGAGACACGGCCCAGACUCCUACGGGAGGCAGCAGUAGGGAAUCUUCGGCAAUGGACGAAAGUCUGACCGAGCAACGCCGCGUGAGCGAUGAAGGCCUUCGGGUCGUAAAGCUCUGUUGUCAGAGAAGAACAAGUACCGGAGUAACUGCCGGUACCUUGACGGUACCUGACCAGAAAGCCACGGCUAACUACGUGCCAGCCGCCGCAGUAA